rnacentral:rRNA from 1 species
AACGAACGCUGGCGGCAGGCUUAACACAUGCAAGUCGAACGAGAUCUUCGGAUCUAGUGGCAGACGGGUGAGGAACACGUGGGAACAUCCCUUUCAGUUCGGAAUAACGUUGGGAAACUAACGCUAAUACCGGAUACGUCCUCCGGGAGAAAGAUUUAUCGCUGAAAGAUUGGCCCGCGUCUGAUUAGCUAGUUGGUGAGGUAAUGGCUCACCAAGGCUACGAUCAGUAGCUGAUCUGAGAGGAUGAUCAGCCACAUUGGGACUGAGACACGGCCCAAACUCCUACGGGAGGCAGCAGUGGGGAAUAUUGGACAAUGGGCGCAAGCCUGAUCCAGCCAUGCCGCGUGAGUGAUGAAGGCCUUCGGGUUGUAAAGCUCUUUUAUCCGGGAAGAUAAUGACUGUACCGGAAGAAUAAGCCCCGGCAAACUUCGUGCCAGCCGCCGCGGUAA